rnacentral:rRNA from 1 species
UACGUAGGGGGCAAGCGUUGUCCGGAAUCAUUGGGCGUAAAGAGCGUGUAGGCGGUUCGGUAAGUCGGGUGUGAAAGCCCCGGGCUCAACCUGGGAAUGCCAUUCGAGACUGCAUAGCUAGGGUGCGGAAGAGGGAAGCGGAAUUUCCGGUGUAGCGGUGAAAUGCGUAGAUAUUCGCAAGAACACCAGUGGCGAAGGCGGCUCACUGGCCCGAUACUGACGCUGAGGCACGAAAGCGUGGGGAGCAAACAGG